AACAGGGCCGAGUGGUUAUGGCGCUAGCUUCAGGUGCUAGUGGAGCAAUCCGCGUGGGUUCGAGUCCCACGGCUGUCA